UGAACGCUGGCGGCGUGCCUAAUACAUGCAAUUCGAGCGACCAGACGAGGAGCUUGCUCCUCUGACGUUAGCGGCGGACGGGUGAGUAACACGUGGAUAACCUACCUAUAAGACUGGGAUAACUUCGGGAAACCGGAGCUAAUACCGGAUAAUAUAUUGAACCGCAUGGUUCAAUAGUGAAAGACGGUUUUGCUGUCACUUAUAGAUGGAUCCGCGCCGCAUUAGCUAGUUGGUAAGGUAACGGCUUACCAAGGCAACGAUGCGUAGCCGACCUGAGAGGGGGAUCGGCCGCACUGGAACUGAGACACGGUCCAGACUCCUACGGGAGGCAGCAGUAGGGAAUCUUCCGCAAUGGGCGAAAGCCUGACGGAGCAACGCCGCGUGAGUGAUGAAGGUCUUCGGAUCGUAAAACUCUGUUAUUAGGGAAGAACAAAUGUGUAAGUAACUAUGCACGUCUUGACGGUACCUAAUCAGAGAGCCACGGCUAACUACGUG
rnacentral:rRNA from 1 species